UCCAAGGUGAUGCCCUCUUCUCACCGCCUGCCUGGAGUCACACAAUGGCCACCUCCUGCCAGCUAGCACAGAGAUUUCUCUGCUACUUUCCAGCCUCCUGAUGCUGGUGUAGGAAGGUGGCAGAAGGAAAAGGGCCAUGCAGAGGAUGACCCCAUACUGCGCUGAGCCCCAGGUGCCAUCACUGGCCCAUUGGCAUCUGGUGUGGCUUCGAGAAGUCAGGGUACUGCUCACAGAAACUAAAGUAGGCUGUCUUGUCUUCCGCUAAUCUUGAAUGCCUUUUGUUCAAGAGGUGUUUUGUAUUCAUCAGUCAACUAAGGACUCAUCCUGAAGAAGCCCUCAGUCAGCACAUAGAUCUCAGUGAAAAAGGGAUAUGCAGCUCUUGAAAUAUUCAUAGCAAAAGCCACUGGCACCCAGAUACAGAUUAUGCCUAUACCCAGAGGUAGACUCAGGACUGGAGGCUGCCCCCUCCAGUGGGGGAAGAAGUCUUGAACAUUCUGGAGAGGAGGAGCUAUCUCAUGCCUGAGGGUCCCAAAUUGCCACCACAACUAAGCAGCACUGAGUAAAACACCUGUACUUCAGCCUGGACCCGCUGUCUUUCAUGUGGAUGGCUGCCUCUUCUCUUCCAAACACAAAGCAGAGAAAACUAUUUAGAAAUCUAUUGAAUCGCACAGUGCAUUCCAAAGGGACCCAGAGGAAUCUGAGCUCUUAACAAGCUGUAUACUUUUGAGUUUACUGCUUGUGAAUAGUUCUCAGCUGACAGCUCUUGAGACCAAAAGCCUGCUUCACAGAUGCAGAAUGAACCAGCACAAGAAGUGGCUUCGUUGGCAACUUCCCCACAAUGUUAAAGACUCUCUGCCUCAGCCCUUAUCUAGUACUACAAGCGCACGGGUACAUCAGGAGCUGCAUCACUGUGCAUCAGGUCUGCUGGGCCAGACCUGGAGCUUUGUCACAAGCUUCAGGACUACAGGCAGGAGAGUGUGACUAUGAGCCAUCACCACCUGCCUGUGCUGCUCAGAAUCAGUGCUGCAGGGGGACUGGUGCUCACGUGCAUGUGUUUGCAAUGCACGGUGAAUGUGGAAAACAAAGUCUAUCCCUGGUCUGAAGACAAAUCACAAUGUGCUUUACAAACUGUGCCUACUUGAAAAAGGGUCUCAGUGACUUCUAGAGAAGCUCCGUUUCCUGGUGGAGUAUCAUCUUCUUGAGGCUAAAAUACAAGGCAAAACUUACGGCUUCUGGGAACUUCCUUUGGGUGCAGUUUCUUAUUAAAUGCCUUAAAGGAUCUGUGUGGAUGAGAGCAAGAGGCGUAUCGCAAGGUGAAGCAGUCUUGCUUCAUGCACUUUGCCACCACAUGGCCGAUGCCUUGUGUGUUUGCUGGGAGUGAGAGCUGCAAGCCUUUGGUCCUCAGUCAUUACAUAGAAGUAAGCAGUUGUUGAAAUGGCAAGGAGGAUUUGAGCCCUGCAUCUCUGCUAGAGGGUGAGACACAAUGAAUGGACACUGAGAAUUGCCAAACCUUGUUGUAUACGUGUGGACAUUUCUGAAUUACAGAUGCUUCACCUCGUUACAGCAAGAUCUGUUGUUUUGUGGCAAUCUCUGCAGAAAUCAUGUGCCUGCUGGAAGCGUCUGUAUCCCGGGGAUUACCCCUGCAGAAUAUAUGUGCUGUAAGUGGAA